GACGAACGCUGGCGGCGUGCUUAACACAUGCAAGUCGAACGGUGAAGGGGAGCUUGCUCCCCGGAUCAGUGGCGAACGGGUGAGUAACACGUGGGCAACCUGCCCCAGACUUCGGGAUAACGCUUCGAAAGAGGUGCUAAUACCGGAUACGAACUCCUUGGGCAUCCCGGGAGUUGGAAAGUUUUUUCGGUCUGGGAUGGGCCCGCGGCCUAUCAGCUUGUUGGUGAGGUAACGGCUCACCAAGGCGACGACGGGUAGUCGGCCUGAGAGGGCGACCGGCCACACUGGGACUGAGACACGGCCCAGACUCCUACGGGAGGCAGCAGUGGGAAUAUUGCGCAAUGGGCGAAAGCCUGACGCAGCAACGCCGCGUGAGGGAUGACGGCCUUGGUGUAAACCUCUUUCAGCAGGAAGAAGCGAAAGUGACGGUACCUGCAGAAGAAGCGACCGGCUAACUACGUGCCAGCAG
rnacentral:rRNA from 1 species